AUCAGUUUAACAAUUUUAAUCAAUUUAUCAAAAACAUUUUUUGUAAUUUUUACAUGUUUUAAGACGAUUUCUACUGAAAUUUGAAAUAAAAAAUCAAAAAUACAAACUCAAAAUAGGUAAAAAGAAUGGUGUAUCCGACCAACUUAGAGUAUCUAUCCCUUAAUCAGUCAAAAAAAUUAUCAGGAGAAAAACACCGAUAUACGUGGAAGAAAAUCGUUAGUGGGCAUGUGUGGUUGUUUGUGCCUGUGAUGUACGUCAAAGUUUUAAAUAAUUAAUCAGAUUUUUCAUUUUUUGACGCAAUGGCCGCUCUGUGGAACUGCCCACAUUGCUCCAAAAUUUUAUCAACAACUCGUAUGUGUCUUAGAGGUCACACCAUCUGUGGGGAUUGUGGAACCAAAACUUUGUGUCCAAUUUGUAAGAUGAUUAUUUGUACUCGAGCGAAAAACUUUGCAUUCGAAGGGCUGGUCUCUGAAUUGGGGCUUGUACUUUCGCCACCUGCUGAUCCAGAUCCAGGCCCAGCUCCUGCGAUUCGUCUGAGUCGACACAGACACCAUGUAAUCAAAUGCCCCGUGUCUUACUGCCGCACAAGAAACACGUUUGAAGACUUGGCAGCACAUCUCAAAAAUGAUCAUAAAAGAUCGAUCCUCAAAUUAAGCGCACGCCGAAACUGGACCAGGAUUUCAGUAAGAAACAUCUCCUCAAGAAUAUGUAAAGUCGUGUGUUAUUCUAAAUGUUUUUUCCAUAUUUUUAUUAAAAUUAAUCGUGAACAAGGCAACUUUAACGUAGGGGUGACUUUAGCGAGCAAUUCUUUAAAAAAAUUUAGUUUUUCCGUAAAUAAUUGUAGAGCUCGCCGGGAGAUACCGUUGCACGGUUCUUCUCCCUCUUCUACUUUUAAUAAUUAUAACUAUACAUUAAAAGCCGCUCAUGUUGAAGUUAAUUUUUUUGAGGAGUAAGUAUUUUUUUAACUAAGUUUAGCAGUUUAUUUAAGUAACAAAUUGCUUUAAAUUUUUUGUUUUAAAUGUUUGUUGCAUUAUUUAUUUUAUUACAUUUUGUAAGAUUUAAGUGUGUUUUUUAGUCGUUUUAGCACGCGUACUAAUUAUACCUGCAUUUUAUACCUA